rnacentral:lncRNA from 1 species
UCCUUUCAGCCCACAACAGAAUCUUUUUUGCUCAUCACGUUUCCUAGCUUCUAGGAAAUCAUGGGCUACAACAUUAAUUGCCAUUUUCACUACACUGCCCAAGGGAUACACAUGUCCCAUUAACUUGUCCACCAAUAAUGUUGAUUUGAAACGUGUCCCAUGCAGGCCUAUAAAACCCAAUUACUUACCCAUUUCAAAACUUUCUCACAUUCUCUAAAUCUUCAAGCAUUCAAAC